rnacentral:rRNA from 2 species
GGACGAACGCUGGCGGCGUGCCUAAUACAUGCAAGUCGAGCGAACUUGAUGAAGAGCUUGCUUUUGAUCAGUUAGCGGCGGACGGGUGAGUAACACGUGGGUAACCUGCCUGUAAGACUAGGAUAACUCCGGGAAACCGGGGCUAAUACUGGAUAACUUUUCUCUCCGCAUGGAGAGAGAUUGAAAGAUGGCUUCGGCUAUCACUUACAGAUGGACCCGCGGCGCAUUAGCUAGUUGGUGAGGUAACGGCUCACCAAGGCAACGAUGCGUAGCCGACCUGAGAGGGUGAUCGGCCACAUUGGGACUGAGACACGGCCCAAACUCCUACGGGAGGCAGCAGUAGGGAAUCUUCCGCAAUGGACGAAAGUCUGACGGAGCAACGCCGCGUGAGUGAAGAAGGUCUUCGGAUCGUAAAACUCUGUUGUUAGGGAAGAACAAGUAUCGUUCGAAUAGGGCGGUACCU